GAUGAACGCUGGCGGCGUGCCUAAUACAUGCAAGUCGAGCGAACAGACGAGGAGCUUGCUCCUCUGACGUUAGCGGCGGACGGGUGAGUAACACGUGGAUAACCUACCUAUAAGACUGGGAUAACUUCGGGAAACCGGAGCUAAUACCGGAUAAUAUAUUGAACCGCAUGGUUCAAUAGUGAAAGACGGUUUUGCUGUCACUUAUAGAUGGAUCCGCGCCGCAUUAGCUAGUUGGUAAGGUAACGGCUUACCAAGGCAACGAUGCGUAGCCGACCUGAGAGGGUGAACGGCCACACUGGAACUGAGACACGGUCCAGACUCCUACGGGAGGCAGCAGUAGGGAAUCUUCGGCAAUGGGCGAAAGCUUGACGGAGCAACGCCGCGUGAGUGAUGAAGGUCUUCGGAUCGUAAAACGCUGUUAUUAGGGAAGAACAAAUGUGUAAGUAACUAUGCACGUCUGGACGGUACCUAAUCAGAAAGCCACGGCUAACUACGU
rnacentral:rRNA from 1 species